CCCUUAGAUGUUCUGGGCCGCACGCGCGCUACACUGAUGCAUUCAACAAGCCUAGCCUUGACCGAGAGGUCCGGGUAAUCUUUGAAACUGCAUCGUGAUGGGGCUAGAUUAUUGCAAUUAUUAAUCUUCAACGAGGAAUGCCUAGUAAGCGUGAUUCAUCAAAUCGCGUUGAUUACGUCCCUGCCCUUUGUACACACCGCCCGUCGCUCCUACCGAUUGAAUGUGUUGGUGAGGAGCUCGGAUUGGCAGCAGUUGGUGGUUCGCCACCGGCUAUUGCUGAGAAGUCCUCCAAACCGCCCCAUUUAGAGGAAGGAGAAGUCGUAACG
rnacentral:rRNA from 1 species